UUCUUCUUCAAAGCAAAAAACGAAGAAUCUAAGGCAAAUCCCAUCCGCUCUUUGCAACCAGAACACAAACGACCCCACCCCAAACGUCUAGCAGCUUCACGUUCAACAGCUACACCUAACGCCACGCUACAAAAUCGACCGCUGGCCAGAUCUCCUCUCGACACCACCAUUUCCGGCAGUCAAACAAAAGAACGAGCAACAAAACACACACACCUCACAAAAUAGCUUCAUAACCACCGGGUGCUAGUAUCGGAGUUUCGGAGUUACAGAUUGUUAGUCCUAUUUGUAGUUUGAGAGGUUCGUCGAGGCUGCCGCCGACAAAUAUCUAUAAUCAUGAUCAUUGUCUUGGCUUGAUGUUGAGCAGCAGAAAUUCUAAAGCUUGGAUUCCGUUAAUACAAGGUAUUUUUGGCUUUGCAAUUGGAAUUUCAGUAGGUCCGGUUAUUAGUUAUUUCUUGUUCAUAUACUUUGAGUUCUUUUGUUGUUGUUUUUGUUUUUGUUGUUACUUUUCUUCACUAAGCCGAGGGUCGAUUGGAAACAGCCUCUCUGCCCUUUCGGGUAGGGCUAAGGCCUGUCUACAUGUUACCCUUCACAGACCUCACUUUGUGAGACUAUACUGGGUAGUUGUUAUUGAUGUUCAUAUACUUUGAGCCCAG
rnacentral:lncRNA from 1 species